rfam:Ovis aries breed Texel chromosome 5, whole genome shotgun sequence.
AUAAAGGUGUUUAUAAACACCACCAACAGAAAGAAUUGGGAAUGU